rnacentral:rRNA from 1 species
UACAGAGGUCCCAAGCGUUGUUCGGAUUCACUGGGCGUAAAGGGUGCGCAGGUGGUUUGGCAAGUUUGACGUGAAAGCCCCGGGCUUAACCCGGGAAUGGCGUUGAAAACUGCUUGACUGGAGGGUUGGAGGGGGGACUGGAAUUCUUGGUGUAGCAGUGAAAUGCGUAGAUAUCAAGAGGAACACCGGUGGCGAAGGCGAGUC